CUCUGGACCUCUUUCAUGUCUGCUAAAAAUUGUGGGAAAACAGAGGGGCCCUUCUCAGACCUCUACUAUUAAAUACAUGAAGUCACCAUUUCUGCUCUGUUGCAACUACCCCAGGUAGUGUCUCAUAUCCAUAAGAAGUGGUAAGGAACCUCAAAUCUGAAAGACCUUCAGAAAAUGCAAUAUUUGAAAGAAAACUGGAAUGAAGAAAGUGUCGGCGUUCUUUCCAGUGGGCUACUUUUAUUACCUGCAUAUGCCAUUCUGUCUCAACUCCAG